rnacentral:rRNA from 1 species
GGGCUCACACAAGCGGUGGAGGAUGUGGCUUAAUUCGAGGCUACGCGAAGAACCUUAUCCUAGAUUUGACAUGCUUGAGAGUCUCUAUGAAAGUAGAGAGUGCCCUUCGGGGAGCUCUUGCACAGGUGCUGCAUGGCUGUCGUCAGCUCGUGUCGUGAGAUGUCGGGUUAAGUCCCUUAACGAGCGAAACCCUUAUCUCUAGUUGCCAGCGGGUAAUGCCGGGGACUCUAGAGAGACUGCCGGUGUCAAACCGGAGGAAGGUGGGGAUGACGUCAAGUCCUCAUGGCCCUUACGGCCUGGGCUACACACGUGCUACAAUGGCUAGGACAGACGGCCGUAAACCCGCGAGGGGGAGCCAA